GACAGAGGGUGCAAACGUUGCUCGGAAUUAUUGGGCGUAAAGCGCGCGUAGGCGGUUUGAUAAGUCGAUUGUGAAAUCCCCGGGCUCAACCUGGGAAUUGCAGUCGAGACUGUCAGACUAGAGUGUGGGAGAGGUGAGUGGAAUUCCCGGUGUAGCGGUGAAAUUCGUAGAUAUUGGGAAGAACACCGGUGGCGAAGGCGGCUAUCUGGACCGACAUUGACGCUGAGGCGCGAAAAGCGUGGGGGAGCAAACAGG
rnacentral:rRNA from 1 species